rnacentral:rRNA from 1 species
UACGUAGGGACCAAGCGUUGUCCGGAAUCAUUGGGCGUAAAGAGCGUGUAGGCGGCUUGUUAAGUCUUGCGUGAAAUCUCGGGGCUCAACCCCGAGCGGUCGUGAGAAACUGGCAGGCUAGAGUGCGGGAGAGGAGAGUGGAAUUCCUGGUGUAGCGGUGAAAUGCGCAGAUAUCGUAAGGAAGACCAGUGGCGAAGGCGGGUCUCUGGACAGUUCCUGACGCUGAGGCACGAAGGCCAGGGGAGCAAACGGG